CGCGCCCCGCCGCCCGGGCUUCUCCGAGGAGACGCCGACGACAGGGGGCGGGGUGGGGGUGGGGGUGGGGUCGUCUACGCGGGGCCACGCAGGCGCCGCUUUACGGCAGGGGUGGGCGUGGGGCGCCGUCGAGUCCCGCCGGCCCCCGCGCAAGGUUCAGAGCUGACCGGGUUUGUCCCGCCGGAGCGUGGCCUCAGCCAGAGGAGGCAGAGCAGAAGGAAAGGAGGAGGAGGGAAAUCGGGGACGUCGGUCAUCUCCAGGCGCUGGUGUUCUGGGGUUCCUGGAACCAGUCCCCCACGGAUACUGAGGGCUAACUGCAUUGAGACACUAUAUUGAAAGAGCAACAUAAGAUGAACAAGAGAGGAAUACAAAUAGUCAUUGGGAGAACAUACAUGGCUUCAUUCUAAAUGUUGGUGAAGAGAAUAAAGCAUCAAACAAACACUACAAUGACUUUGUUAUUAUUUUUCAGUGCUCCUUUCCCCAAAAUAUAUCCUUACAGAAAGCUUUGGCAGAUAGAUUGUCACAAUUUGCUCCAUUCCUGUGUGACUGGUCAAAGUGCCUAAAACUAAGUGGAUUCUAAGAUUCUCAAAGUGAGUGUUGAAUGUGCUACUUAAAAGAAGAAUCAUUGGAUACAUAAAGGUCUAUUACCCAGAAAGCAUGCAUUUUUUUUUUCACCAAUAAAAAUGAAAGCUUCAUGCAAACAUGUGAGGCUCAAGUUGUUAGAAUCUACUCUAGUGACAGAAAAAGCAAAGGCAUGUCUUCAGAAACCCUUAAGUAACCUCUGUGUUGCUCUGUGAUGCUGGAGUGAUUGAUAGAGGAAAAGUGAUAAUCUCCAUGAAAACACAGUUUUGAAGAAAUAUGAAAGCACUUCAGUUUCCUGUCAGACAGAUGAAAACUAGAGUUUUGACCUUCUGCCUCAAUCCUUCUCCCUUCUACCAAUAGGAAAGAAAUACUAUACUAAAGAUUCAUAGGAUGGAUGUAAAAAGAAAAGGCAUGAAACUUUGGGUAGAACCUAGUAUAAUUGUAGCUAUGCUUUCAUGAAACAAGCAAGACAAUCUAGGUAUUUACAAAGCUGGCAAUUGGGCUUCCCUGGUGGCGCAGUGGUUAGGAAUCCGCCUGCCAAUGCAGGGGACACGGGUUCGAGCCCUGGUUCAGGAAGAGCCCACAUGCUGCAGAGCAGCUAGGCCCGUGCGCCACAACUGCUGAGCCUGCGCUCCGCGACAAGAGAGGCCACCGCAAUGAGAGGCCCGCGCACGGCAAUGAAGAGUAGCCCCCGCUCACCACAACUAAAAAAAGAAAGCCCACGCGCAGCCACAAAGACCCAACGCAGCCAAAAAUAAAUAAAUAAAUUAAUUAAUUAAUUUUAAAAAAAAGCUGGCUAACAAAAAUAAACAAAUGGGACCUAAUGAAACUUCAAAGCUUUUGCACAGCAAAGGAAACCAUAAACAAGACGGACGAAAAGACAACCCUCGGAAUGGGAGAAAAUAUUUGCAAACGAGUCAACAGACAAAGGAUUAAUCUCCAAAAUAUAUAAACAGCUCAUUGAGCUCAAUAUUAAAGAAACAAACACCCCAAUCCAAAAAUGGGCAGAAGACCUAAAUAGACAUUUCUCCAAAGAAGACAUACAGACGGCCACGAAGCAAAUGAAAAAAUGCUCAACAUCACUAAUUAUUACAGAAAUGCAAAUCAAAACUACAAUGAGGUAUCACCUCACUCCUGUUAGAAUGGGCAUCAUCAGAAAAUCUACAAACAACAAAUGCUGGAGAAGGUGUGGAGAAAAGGGAACCCUCUUGCACUGUUGGUGUGAAUGUAAAUUGAUACAGCCACUAUGGAGAACAAUAUGGAGGUUCCUUAAAAAACUAAAAAUAGAAUUACCAUAUGACCCAGCAAUCCCACUACUGGGCAUAUACCCAGAGAAAACCGUAAUUCAAAAAGACACAUGCACCCGAAUGUUCAUUGCAGCACUAUUUCCAAUAGCCAGGUCAUGGAAGCAACCUAAAUGCCCAUCAGCACACGAAUGGAUAAAGAAGUUGUGGUACAUAUAUACAAUGGAAUACUACUCAGCCAUAAAAAGGAACGAAAUUGAGUCAUUUGUUGAGAAGUGGAUGGAUCUAGAGACUGUCAUACAGAGUGAAGUAAGUCAGAAAGAGAAAAACAAAUAUCGUAUAUUAAUGCAUGUAUGUGGAACCUAGAAAAAUGGUACAGAUGAGCCAGUUUGCAGGGCAGAAGUUGAGACACAGAUGUAGAGAAUGGAAAUAUGGACACCAAGGGGGGAAAACUGCGGUGGGGUGGGGAUGGUGGUGUACUGAAUUGGGGGAUUGGGACUGACAUGUAUACACUGAUGUGUAUAAAAGUGAUGCCUAAUAAGAACCUGCAGUAUAAAAAAACAAACAAAACAACUAAUACUAAACUUUCAUUGGGUUAUUUUAUGGAAAUAUGUUAAUAUAAAUGUUUCAGACUUUACAUGAAAUUUCUAAAAAUCUUAUAUUUGUAUUUGUAUGGAAAUAUGUAUGGAAAUAUGUUAAUAUAAAUGUUUCAGACAUUACA